rnacentral:rRNA from 1 species
AGUGAACGCUGGCGGUAGGCCUAACACAUGCAAGUCGAACGGCAGCACAGGAGAGCUUGCUCUCUGGGUGGCGAGUGGCGGACGGGUGAGGAAUACAUCGGAAUCUACUCUGUCGUGGGGGAUAACGUAGGGAAACUUACGCUAGUACCGCAUACGACCUACGGGUGAAAGCAGGGGACCUUCGGGCCUUGCGCGAUUGAAUGAGCCGAUGUCGGAUAAGCUAGUUGGCGGGGUAAAGGCCCACCAAGGCGACGAUCCGUAGCUGGUCUGGGAGGAUGAUCAGCCAAACUGGAACUGAGACACGGUCCAGACUCCUACGGGAGGCAGCAGUGGGGAAUAUUGGACAAUGGGCGCAAGCCUGAUCCAGCCAUACCGCGUGGGUGAAGAAGGCCUUCGGGUUGUAAAGCCCUUUUGUUGGGAAAGAAAUCCAGCUGGCUAAUACCCGGUUGGGAUGACGGUACCCAAAGAAUAAGCACCGGCUAACUUCGUGCCAGCCGCCGCAGUAA